rnacentral:rRNA from 1 species
AUUGAACGCUGGCGGAAUGCUUUACACAUGCAAGUCGAACGGCAGCACGGACUUCGGUCUGGUGGCGAGUGGCGAACGGGUGAGUAAUGUAUCGGAACGUGCCCAGUCGUGGGGGAUAACGUAGUGAAAAUUACGCUAAUACCGCAUACGAUCUAUGGCUGAAAGCGGGGGAUCGCAAGACCUCGCGCGAUUGAAGCGGCCGAUAUCAGAUUAGGGAGUUGGUGGGGUAAAGGCCCACCAAGCCAACGAUCUGUAGCUGGUCUGAGAGGUACGACCAGCCACACUGGAACUGAGACACGGUCCAGACUCCUACGGGAGGCAGCAGUGGGGAAUUUUGGACAAUGGGCGAAAGCCUGAUCCAGCCAUUCCGCGUGCAGGAUGAAGGCCCUCGGGUUGUAAACUGCUUUUGUACAGAACGAAAGGGUUUCUACUAAUACUAGGAGCUCAUGACGGUACUGUAAGAAUAAGCACCGGCUAACUACGUGCCAGCAGCCGCCGUAA